rnacentral:rRNA from 1 species
GACAGAGGAGCCAAGCGUUGUCCGGAUUGACUGGGCGUAAAGCGCACGCAGGCGGCUCGGCGCGUGGGGUGUGAAAGCUGGCGGCUUAACUGCCAGACGCCAUCCCAUACGGCUGGGCUCGAGCCCUGCAGAGGUCCAUGGAAUUGCCGGUGUAGUGGUGAAAUGCGUAGAGAUCGGCAGGGAACACCCCAGGGGGAAACCGAGUGG